UGUCAGCUCCUGCCUCACACUGGCCUGUUGA
rnacentral:piRNA from 1 species